rnacentral:rRNA from 1 species
GCGAACCGUUGGCGGGCGUGCCUAACACAUGCAAUGUCUCCGGGGGAAAGUAGCAAUACGAGUACACCGGCGCAACGGGUGAGAAACGCGUGGAAUAAUCUACCUCGGGGGACGAGGAUAACCUGCCGAAAGGCGGGCUAAUACUCGAUAACGUCCGGUUGCCUGGCGGGUGAUCGGACCAAAGCUGGGGACCUUCGGGCCCAGUACCUAGGGACGAGUCCGCGUCCCAUUAGCUAGUUGGUAGGGUUAAUGGCCUACCAAGGCGACGAUGGGUAGCUGGUUCUGAAGAGGAUGAUCAGCCACAACUGACACUGGAACACGGGUCAGACUCCUUACGGGAGGCAGCAGUGAGGAAUAUGGCGCAAUGGGCGAAGCCCUGGACGCAGCGACGCCGCGUGGAGGGAUGAAGGCCCUCGGGUCGUAAACUCCUGUCGGAAGGGAAGAACCACUGGCAGCCGAAUAGGCCUCCAGUCUGACGGUACCUUCAAAGGAAGCACCGGCUACAACUCGUGCCGGGCAGCCGCGGUAAUACGAAGGGUGCAAAACGUUGCCUCGGAAUCACUGGGCGUAAAGGGUGGGUAGGUGGCCUACUAAAGUCGGGAGGUGAAAGCCCUCGGCUCAACCGAGGGAAUUGCUUUUCGAUACUGGUAGGCUUGAGUGCGAUAGAGGAUAGCGGAAUUCCUGGUGUAGCGGUGAAUGUGAAAUGCGUUGAUAUCAGGGAGGAACACCCUGUGGCGAAGGCGGCUAAUCUGGGGUCGACACUGACACUGGAAGGCACGAAAGCGUUUGGGUAGCAAAACGGGAUGAAAUUAGAUACCCCGGUAGUCCACGGCCCCUAACGAUUGAGAACUAGUUGUUGGAACCCUAUGAGGGAUUCGGCGGACGAAGCUAACGCGUUAAGUUUCUCCGCCUGGGGGACUACGGGCCGCAAGGGCUCUAAAACUCAAAGGAAUUGACGGGGGCCCGCACAAGCCGGUGGAGCAUGUGGUUUAAUUUCGACGCAACGCGAAGAAGAACCUUACCUGGGUUUGACAUGUUACGUAGGUAACUGAUUUGAAAGGAUGAGGGAUCUUGUAGCAAUACAGAAGCGUACACAGGCGCUGCCAUGGCUGUCGUCAGCUCGUGCCGUUGAGGGUGUUGGGUUAAGUCCCGCAACGAGCGGCAAACCCCCUGCCACUAGUUGCCAGAGAUUCGGGUCGGGCACUCUAGGUGGGACUUGCCGGGGGAUAAACCCGGAGGAAGGCGGGGAACGACGUCAAGUCAUCAUGGCCCCUAAGUUCCAGGGCUACACACGUGCUACAAAUGGGCCGGUACCAGAGGGUUGCAAUACCGCAAGGUGGAGCCCAAUCCCAGGAAAGGCCGGUCUCAGUUUAGGAAUUGUCGUCUGCAACUCGACGACCAUGAAUGCGGAAUCGCUAGUAAUCGCGUAUCAGCCCACGACGCGGUGAAUACGUUCCCGGGCCCUUGUACACACCGCCCGUCACACCACCACGAGAGUCGACUUCCUUUCUCCGGAAGUAGGCUGCCUCAACCGUAAGGAGAGAGGUUACCAAGGAAGGGGUUGGUGAUUGGGGUG